GCCAGGCAUAGUGGUGUGUGGCUGUAGUCUCAGCUACUCAGGAGGCUGAGGUGGGAGGAUUGUUUGAGCCCAGGAAUUUGAGGCUGCAGUGAGCUAUGAUCAAGCCCCUGCACUCCAGCCUGGGCAACAGAUCAAGACCCCAUCUCUA
rnacentral:SRP_RNA from 1 species